rnacentral:rRNA from 1 species
GACGAACGCUGGCGGCGUGCUUAACACAUGCAAGUCGAACGGAAAGGCCCUGCUUUUGGGGGGUGCUCGAGUGGCGAACGGGUGAGUAACACGUGAGUCACCUGCCCUUGGCUUUGGGAUAACUUCAGGAAACUGGGGCUAAUACCGGAUAGGAGCUCCUGCAGCAUGGUGGGGGCUGGAAAGUCUCGGCGGUGGGGGAUGGUCUCGCGGCUUAUCAGCUUGUUGGUGGGGUAGUGGCUUACCAAGGCUUUGCCCGGUAGCCGGCCUGAGAGGGUGACCGGCCACAUUGGCACUGAGAUACGGCCCAGACUCCUACGGGACGCAGCAGUGGCGCAUAUUGCACAAUGGGCGGACGCCUGGUGCAGCAACGCCCCCUGCGGGAUGCCCGCCUUCGGGUUGUAAACCGCUUUCGGCUGUGACGAAGAGUGAGUGACGGUAAUGGGUAAAGAAGCACCGGCUAACUACGUG